AAAUGAAUAUCAUUUGUACCGAAGACAGCAGGGGCUUCUGGCUUAAUAUCCUGCCUAGGUAAUUCGAUAAAUAUAGUUUUAGGACUAUGACUUUUGAAAUUACUGCCUUCAUGUCUGCUUGAUAUGAAGGCUUUUUCUUUAAACGG
rfam:Bacillus sp. MTM 13 33, whole genome shotgun sequence.